UUUAACUGCCAAGAUGCCUUCACCUAAAUUUCAUAUGAAGCACCAUUCAGAAGAUGUUGUUGUGUCCUCUGACGGACGCGAAAUGACCAGACUACUUCCCUCUGCUACCGGCCGGAAACCAACCAAACCUGCCGCCGCCGCUGCCUCUCAAACUCAGCCUGCAGCAAAAUCGCAACGAGAUCUUGAAGAAACUGUGAAGAAAUUUGCUGAUGCAGUUUCUGAGAAAGGACGAGUGAUGCAUGAGAUUUGGGCGUUGGUGUUCAACGUCCUUCAUCUCCUGCACAGUACAGGAGCAGAGAGAGUUAGAUGGUCACCACCUGGUUAUACAAGCACAUGCUCCUACACACUAGGAGUCACGAUGAUACUUGUUCUCUGCUAUUGUGGUGAACAUUUGGGUGACGAAAUGAUGCAAGGUCUUGUCGACUAUAUUCUGCACUUCAAGACAGUUGAUGUCAAUGAAGAAGAUAAGACCGGCGUAAGUUGUUGAGUUUUGGAUUGUGACUAGAGAUAUUGUCUGUGUUCAGUAUAAUGUGCUGGUUCACUGCCAUGUGUACGUCUUUGCUGGUGUCUCUGUGUGUACGUCUGUUUCCAUGUUGGUGUGUUUGGCCUAUGAACAUGUACUGCAUAUUCAUCUGUGUGUUUGUGUGUGCGUGUAUAUAUGUGUGUGUAUGUGUGCGUGUAUGUGUAUGUAUGUGUGUGUGUGUGUGUGUGUGUGUGUGUGUGUGUGUGUGUGUGUGUGUGCGUA